rnacentral:rRNA from 1 species
UACGUAGGGUGCGAGCGUUAAUCGGAAUUACUGGGCGUAAAGCGUGCGCAGGCGGUUCGUUGUGUCGGCGGUGAAAGCCCCGGGCUCAACCUGGGAAUGGCCGUUGAAACUGGCGAACUGGAGUGUGGCAGAGGGGGGUGGAAUUCCGCGUGUAGCAGUGAAAUGCGUAGAGAUGUGGAGGAACACCGAUGGCGAAGGCAGCCCC